UACGUAGGGGGCAAGCGUUGUCCGGAUUUAUUGGGCGUAAAGAGCGUGUAGGCGGCUAUGCAGGUCCGCUGUGAAAACUCGAGGCUCAACCUCGAGACGUCGGUGGAAACCGCAUGGCUAGAGUCCGGAAGAGGAGAGUGGAAUUCCCGGUGUAGCGGUGAAAUGCGCAGAUAUCGGGAAGAACACCCGUGGCGAAGGCGGCUCUCUGGGACGGUACUGACGCUGAGACGCGAAAGCGUGGGGAGCGAACAGGG
rnacentral:rRNA from 1 species